UAGAUAAAGAACCAAUAUUUUUGGUGAUUCAUAAUAACUUUACGGAUCGCAUCUUUGAUGCGACAUAUCAUUCAAGUUUCUGACCUAUCAGCUUUAGACGGUAGGGUAUUGGCCUACCGUGGCUAUGACGGGUAACGGGGAAUUAGGGUUCGAUUCCGGAGAGGGAGCCUGAGAAACGGCUACCACAUCUAAGGAAGGCAGCAGGCGCGCGAAUUACCCAAUCCUGACACAGGGAGGUAGUGACAAGAAAUAACAAUACAGGGCCUUAACGGUCUUGUAAUUGGAAUGAGUGAAGUAUAAACCCCUUUACAAGUAUCAAUUGGAGGGCAAGUCUGGUGCCAGCAGCCGCGGUAAUUCCAGCUCCAAUAGCGUAUAUUAAAGUUGUUGCAGUUAAAAAGCUCGUAGUUGGAUUUCUGUUGUAUGAUUAUAAUUGAUAUCAAGAUAUUAUUAUAUCAUCAACAUCCUUCCUAUUACAUUAAUUGUAUAGGAAAUUUUACUUUGAGAAAAUUAGAGUGCUUAAAGCAGGCUUCUGCCUUGAAUACUCCAGCAUGGAAUAAUAAGUAAGGACUUUUGUCUUUCUUGUUGGUUCUAGGAUAAAAGUAAUGGUUAAUAGGGACAGUUGGGGGCAUUCGUAUUUAACAGUCAGAGGUGAAAUUCUUAGAUUUGUUAAAGACGAACUACUGCGAAAGCAUUUGCCAAGGAUGUUUUCAUUAAUCAAGAACGAAAGUUAGGGGAUCGAAGACGAUCAGAUACCGUCGUAGUCUUAACCAUAAACUAUGCCAACUAGAGAUUGGAGGUUGUUCCUUACUC
rnacentral:rRNA from 1 species